AGUGUGCAAUGCUCUGCCCUAAAGAUGGGGCUGUGUGAGAGUGAGGGUGUCGGUAUUCCUGGACGUCGGUGACAAGAGCGUCUGGAAGAUGUAACCCCCCUUGGACAGGGUCCAGGCUCUAGUGUCCCGCUGGAAAGGAUACUGUGCUGCAAGCCCCAUCCCACCCCAGUGAAGACAUGGCUCUGAAGAGUGGCACUGAAGCAAAGCAGCCUCCCUGCGGUACGGUCCAUCGCGGUGGAAAAGUCACACUGGCAGCAGCUUGAAACAGCUGAUCCCUUACGUUGGACUCAAAGUCAGACAGCAGAGAACAAUGCACACAUGUACUCAGCUUGCUUUCUCCUUUUUGUUUCAGCCAAGACCCCAGACCAUAAAAUGCUGUUGCCCACACUCACUGGUCUUCCCACUCAAUAAACUCAAUCUAGAUAAUAAC
rnacentral:lncRNA from 1 species